rfam:Triticum aestivum genome assembly, contig: Triticum_aestivum_CS42_TGACv1_scaffold_133527_2BL
GGAUGAAUGUCUGAGCGGUUGAAAGAGUCGGUCUUGAAAACCGAAGUAUUGAUAGGAAUACCGAGGGUUCGAAUCCCUCUCCAUCCG